rnacentral:rRNA from 1 species
AUUGAACGCUGGCGGCAGGCUUAACACAUGCAAGUCGAGCGGGGGAAGGUGCUUCGGUACUGACCUUAGCGGCGGACGGGUGAGUAAUGCUUAGGAAUCUGCCUAUUAGUGGGGGACAACAUCUCGAAAGGGAUGCUAAUACCGCAUAAGUCCUACGGGAGAAAGCAGGGGAUCACUUGUGACGUUGCGCUAAUAGAUGAGCCUAAGUCGGCUUAGCUAGUUGGUGGGGUAAAGGCCUACCAAGGCGACGAUCGGUAGCGGGUCUGAGAGGAUGAUCCGCCACACUGGGACUGAGACACGGCCCAGACUCCUACGGGAGGCAACAGUGGGGAAUAUUGGACAAUGGGGGGAACCCUGAUCCAGCCAUGCCGCGUGUGUGAAGAAGGCCUUAUGGUUGUAAAGCACUUUAAGCGAGGAGGAGGCUCUUUUGGUUAAUACCCAAGAUGAGUGGAUGUUACUCGCAGAAUAAGCACCGGCUAACUCUGUGCCAGCCGCCGCAGUAA